rnacentral:rRNA from 1 species
AAUCCAGCAGUCCAAAAUAUUAGUCAAUGCUCGAAAGAGUGAACUAGCUAACUGAAAUCAAUUAUAAAAAUUGAUAACAUAAGGGAAAAUAAUGAUAUUACCUUAUUAUUAGUGUCGUCCAAAACAGGUGCCAGAAGACUCGGUAAGGCCUGAGACACAAACGUUAAUCGUCUUAAUCAGGCGUAAAGGGUUUGUAGGCGGCUUUGAAAUUUACUUAUAAAAAAAAAGUAAAGAAAAAAAGCUAGAAUCAAAUAGAGGAUAUAUGAAAGAAUGCUUAGAGUAGGUCUGAUAUCCUUAGAUACUAAGUAGAAUAUUAAAGGCGAAAGCUUUUUUCCAUUAAUGAUUGACGCUCAGAAACGAAGGUGAGGAUAGGAAAUAGGAUUAGAUACCCAAAAUACCCCUCUCUGUCAACGAUGAAUGGUAGUUAUUAGUAAAAAAAAUUAUUAAUGGCAAUGUUAACACGAUAACCAUUCCGCCUUGUGAGUACAACUGCAAAGUUGAAAACAAAAAAAUUAGUCGGUUUCGGAGCAAACGAAGUGAAGCAUGUUAUUUAAUUCGAUAAUCCGCAAA